rnacentral:tRNA from 1 species
GAGCCUCUGGCCUGCGGAGACGGACAACGGCGGACCCUGGCGAACAGCCAGCCGAGGACUUUUAAUCCGCGGGUUGUGGGUUCGAUCCCCACGGGGCCCA